CGUAGAUGCCUUCAGGAAAAAUCUUGUACAGAGGGUUCCGUGAUUCCCUAUUUGAAACGCGACAAAAAGGAUUCGAUAGUAAAAGCAGCACGUGUAGUGUGGGGAAAAGAAAAGCUGUGCGAUGUCAGAUCUGCAUGAACUUCGAAGGGGGGACCAGGGCAGUGGCACUUUCAGUAUUACAGAUUUUGCCCCACAGCAUGCGAACUCAAUACAUUGUCUAUUAUAAACAGUAAUAAAUAACUUAAGCUGACAGGGCAUGGUAUUCAUUCUCUUAGGAUUUUAAAAAGGGCUGCAUCUUCUAAUUGUUCUGGAUUGUACUCCACGCGUUGACUGACACUAUAACUGAAAUUGUGUUAAAUUAUGUUCCUUUUAUGUCGAAGCUGCUCGUUAGUCUGAUCAGUUACGUUUUAAAAUAAUUUCCGUACGAUAUAACGAUAAUUAAAUGCAGGGUCUUUUUAAACAGUAAAUUAAACAGGCGGUGAUGUUAGGAGCUGUAGUUUCAGUCCGAGGACGAGGGAAACCAAACGCAAUCGGAAUGAUCUGGUAGCAUGUUACUCGGGCUGCCCACGGAUCUAAAUUGAUUAUCGUCUUGUAUAAAAGGCUUGUAGUCGAGGUUAGGUAUUGUCCUGUACGUCUUAAAACCGCGAUUGUUAAUUUACGCCACUAAGACAGCAGUUAAUUACUUUGCUGCAAUUUACCUUGGAACGUGACGGAAGAGUAGGAAGUGUGUAUGGACAGAUAGGGAAACUCAGCGGCUGUUAAAACAAGCUUUACAUUGAAAAGCUUAAAAUUAGCCUAGUAAUAAUGAGGAAAUUUUCUCGUAUGCCUAAACUGGAAAGCGAUGGGCAUGGUGCUGGAUGUACAUCGGGAUUUGGUUCUGGACUGGGCAGCUAUAUUGGGAAAGUCUUUGCUGUCGGACGAUACCAGGUCACGGUGGAAAAACUUAUCGCAGAAGGGGGAUUUUCUGUGGUGUUCCUGGCCCGCACUAACACCGGCGUACAAUGUGCCCUGAAGAGGAUGUGUGUGAACAACAACGCAGAUCUAAACGUCUACAAGAGAGAGAUCACAAUUCUGAAAGAGCUGUCUGGACAUAAGAAUAUAGUGACUUACUUGGAUUCCAGUAUCAGUGCAGUGGGGGAAGGCGUGUGGGAGUUCUUUAUUCUCAUGGAGCACUGCAAAGCUGGCCAGGUGGUGAGGCAGAUGAACCAACGUCUCCACACUGGGUACAGUGAGGCAGAAGUCCUCAGCAUCUUCUGUGACGUAUGCGAGGCGGUCGCCAGGUUACAUCAGUGCAAAACACCAGUCAUUCACCGGGAUCUGAAGGUUGAGAAUAUCCUCUUAAAUGACUUGGGGAACUACGUCUUAUGUGACUUUGGAAGUGCCACAUGCAAAAUUCUCUUGCCAAACCAAGAUGGGGUCUCUGCAGUAGAGGAGGAGAUUAAAAAGUACACAACCCUGUCAUACCGAGCUCCUGAGAUGAUUAAUCUUCAUGAAGGCAAAGCAAUCACCACUAAAGCUGAUAUAUGGGCACUUGGGUGUUUAUUGUAUAAGCUGUGUUUCUUCACCCUUCCAUUUGGGGAGAGCCAGGUGGCUAUUUGUGAUGGAAUGGUUACUGUUCCCGACAAUUCCAAGUUCUCCUUCAAGUUGCAUUGUUUAAUUAGGUAUAUGUUAGAACCUGAUCAGGAGAAAAGACCCGACAUCUUUCAAGUGUCUCACCUGGCCUUUGAACUAGCAGGAAAGAACUGCCCUGUGCCCAAUGUUUUCAACUCCCCGAUUCCCACAUCCCUCCCUGAGCCGCUUUCGGCUGCUGAGGCAGCGGCUAAGAAGAGCAUAACCAAAGCCAGACUGGUUGAAAGACCUGGACCUACAGAAACCUCUAUUGCCCCCAGGCGGAGACCAAAGGCUGUGAAUACCAAUGUUUUUCCCAUCCCGAGUGCCACAACUGCUGUAACGUUACCUCCUUCAUCAGCAGACACUGGGCAGAAAGUGAUGACACCCUGUAAGAACACACAGGCGGCCCAGCACUGUCACAAGGGAGGUCAACGGAGUCCAAGCCUGCAGUCUUUCAUGCCGGCAGACCUGCAGCUACAGCAGCCACAGCACCUGCAACAGCUGCAGCUGAAUCCACCGCAGCAUCGACACUCAUACCCCCUGCAGCAGCAUGUCCAGCCCCUGCAGUAUUACCAGGCUGUCCACCCCAUGCAACAGCAGCAGUAUGUGCUCCAGCAACUGGUAAUGAUGCAGCCCACAUAUCCUCAGCCGAUCCACAAUGUUAACAUGAGGCUCCAGACGCACCAUGACUCUGCUGGAUCAGUAGGUGCAGCAGUAUCACAUGGCCUGUGCUCAGCAGCAGUUCCUUCAGCAUCAGGGAUCCCUCCAUACUUCCCCAUCCACCCCCACCAUCCAGCUCCAGACAGCCUUAGGGACCUUAAACCAAGCUGGCAUGGGUCACACUGGACCAGUCCUCCUCAAUUCCCCAUUCACCACCUCCAGGGAUUCAUCCCUAGGCUCAGAGGUGCUGACCCCCUCUCAGAAGAAGACCAGCAACCCAGUGGAUCUGUUGAACCCCUUCGGAGAGGAUAAUUUCUCGACACUGACGAAAGAGGAGCUGCAGAGCAAAAAGUUUGACCUUCUGGGAGCAAACUCCAACCUGGAGAGAAAACAGUCAUCUCAGAAAAGCUCGCUGGAGGACCUCUUCAGUCCUUCCCCUUUCCUCUACAUCCCAGGAAAAUUUUAAGGAGCAUGAAGACCUGCUGUCACAGGACGGAUCUGCAGUGUCAGUCCUUCGGUUUCUCUCACAAAGCGUCUGGGAAAUCUAAGCAAAGAAUGAAGUAACACCUGGUUGCUACUCAAGUACAGAAAAGUUAGGGUAUUAAUACUUGAAACAUCAGCAAUAACAGGCCUAUAUACAAUAAGUAGGGAGGCUGGAGAAACAUUAGUAGACUCAUUGGGGCUGUUAACUUUUAGAUAAUCUGGUUUCAUCGUGCACUUCAUCAAUUGAGGAUUAGCAGGGGAGAAGGUGACUGCAAUUUUGCUUAGUAAAGGUGACCUGCAGUAUCCAGUUAGAAAGAAUAAGGCAGAAUAUGUGGAUUUCAAGUGAAAAUAUUUGUUAGAAUUUAGUAGUUUUCUUUUUCUAAGGUGAUUUUUCAGCCAGGAUUGCAGUGGAGAUGUUUUUGUGAUUGUGAACUUGUAGGUGUAUUACACCUAAAUUGUCUUGAAUUUUGUUUCUUGAAUUACACUGCAGGUUAAGCACUGGGGUUGUUCAUGUUUGCAUAUGUCUUGAGAAACUUUUUUUUUUGGUUAUAGUACUUGGGUGAGGAGUAACAGUAUUGUUAUAUUAAUCUGUAUUCUGUUCUUGAUGGUGUGAUGAUCCUUGGUUAAAUCAUAGUCCUCAAAAUCUUUUAAAAAACAUUGUGAAAAAACACUACUAUAUAUCACAGAAAUCCCAAUGCAUUUAAAGCUAUUGCUACAUUCUUCUGCUGCUCUAAGAAUAUGGAAGGACGAAUGUUUAUUCAUGCACUUUUUGGCCUUAGGUUUUGAAAUGCAUGUUGGACAUCGUUCAAAAUCCUUUGCUGGAUCUGAGAAUUUGUUGUUCCAAACAAACCUGUUAUAGGAUGUGGAUGUGUGAAUUCUUUCUGAACUUCACGCAUGACUGCAGAACUAUGAAUGCAGAGGAAAUUAAUAAGAAAUGAGCAAUUAAUCUUUCAUUAGUAUGCUGCUUACUAUAACCAUUUAAAAUUGCUUGAUUUUAAGGAUUUACAAUUUGAUUAUACACUGUACAAAAGCAUUAAAAAUCACAGUCAUUUCAUUGUCAUAGCAGUUUGUUUGUAUUGCAAAAUAGGAAAUUUACUCCUUAAAGUUUCAUAUACAAUGUUGAAAUUAUUUCGUUUUAUUUUUCCAGAUCUUCAGCAUUGAAUUAGGGCAUCUAAGUUUGUACAGUAAGGGACCAGCACAUACAUUUUUUUUUUGUUUUUGGAAAUUAUCAGUACUUCUAUGGCUUCCCAGUGUAAGCAUUGCAAACCAAAAACUUUUUGUACCUCAGAAAUAAGGCCAAUAUACGUUCACUGUGUCUUUAAGCAAACAUUAUUUAAAUAAACAUUUAUUUCUUUGCUAAA